rnacentral:rRNA from 1 species
AGCGAACGCUGGCGGCAGGCUUAACACAUGCAAGUCGAGCGCCCCGCAAGGGGAGCGGCAGACGGGAGAGUAACACGUGGGAACAUACCUUUUGGUUCGGAACAACUGAGGGAAACUUCAGCUAAUACCGGAUAAGCCCUUACGGGGAAAGAUUUAUCGCCGAAAGAUUGGCCCGCGUCUGAUUAGCUAGUUGGUGAGGUAACGGCUCACCAAGGCGACGAUCAGUAGCUGGUCUGAGAGGAUGAUCAGCCUCACUGGGACUGAGACACGGCCCAGACUCCUACGGGAAGCAGCAGUGGGGAAUAUUGGACAAUGGGGGCAACCCUGAUCCAGCCAUGCCGCGUGAGUGAUGAAGGCCUUAGGGUUGUAAAGCUCUUUUGCCCGGGAAGAUAAUGACGGUACCGGGAGAAUAAGCCCCGGCUAACUUCGUG